AACGAACGCUGGCGGCAGGCCUAACACAUGCAAGUCGAGCGAGGACUUCGGUCCUAGCGGCGGACGGGUGAGUAACGCGUGGGAACGUGCCCUUUGCUUCGGAAUAGCCCUGGGAAACUGGGAGUAAUACCGGAUGAGCCCUUUGGGGGAAAGAUUUAUCGGCGAAGGAUCGGCCCGCGUUGGAUUAGGUAGUUGGUGGGGUAAUGGCCUACCAAGCCGACGAUCCAUAGCUGGUUUGAGAGGAUGAUCAGCCACACUGGGACUGAGACACGGCCCAGACUCCUACGGGAGGCAGCAGUGGGGAAUCUUAGACAAUGGGGGAAACCCUGGUCUAGCCAUGCCGCGUGAGCGAUGAAGGCCUUAGGGUUGUAAAGCUCUUUCAGCUGGGAAGAUAAUGACGGUACCAGCAGAAGAAGCCCCGGCUAACUCCGUG
rnacentral:rRNA from 1 species